ensembl:lncRNA
ACAGACAGACAGACAGACACGCAGACAGGCAGACAGACAGGCAGACAGGGCAGACACACAGACAGGCAGACACGCAGGCAGGUAGACACGCAGAGGCAGACACGCAGACAGGCAGACACGCAGGCAGGUAGACACGCAGACAGGUAGACACGCAUACUGACGGACACACAGACAGACAGGCAGACAGGUAGACAGCCGGACACGCGGCAGGUAGACAGGCAGACACGCAGACAGGUAGACAGGCAGACAGCUGGACAUGCGGACAGGUAGACAGGCAGACAGUUAGAGAGGUAGACAGGCAGACACGCAGACAGGUAGACAGGCAGACACGCAGACAAGCAGACACGCAGACAGGUAGACAGGCAGACAGCCGGACACGCGGACAGGUAGACAGGCGGGCACGGAGACUGACGGACACGCAGACACACAGACAGGCCUCCAGAGUGGCGCCGUGGUCUAAGGCACUGCAUCACAGUGCUAGCUGUGUCACUAGAGAUUCUGGGUUCCAGUCCAGGCUCUGUUGCAGCUGGCCGGCAGGGAUGUCCUUGUUCCAUAGCGCACUAGCGACUCCUGGGUGCAGUGCAUGGUCGCCAGGUGUACAUUGUUUCCUCCAACACAUUGGUGCGGCUGGCUUCCGGGUUAAGUGGGCAUUGUGUCAAGAAGACGCACGGCUCUCGACCUUCACCUCACCCGAGUCCGUAUGGGAGUUGCAGCGAUGAGACAAGACUGUAACUACCAAUUGGAUACCACGAAAAGGGGGUAAAAAAUAUAUAUGUUAAAAGGCAGGCAGAUAGAUGGACAGGCAGGCGGGCAGGCAGGUAGACAUUCAUCAUAUAUGGCUUCCUCUAUGUAUUAACUGCAUGUUUCUAUAGCAGACCACAGACAGACAGGCAGACAGAUAGGCAGACAGAUAGGCAGAUAGAUGGAUGGACAGAUGGAGAGGAAGAUAUGCAGACAGGCAGAUAAACGAACAGACAGACGGACGGACGGGCAGGCAGGCAGAUAGAUGGACAGACAGAUAGACAGGCAGACAGGCAGAUAUGCAGACAGACAGGAAAAAUUUCAGGCAGACAGACAGAGACAGACAGACAGAUUCUUCUUGGACCUCGCUCAUCAACAAACUGUUUUCUGAGAUACUGAAUUUGGCGCGCUUGGCACAUAGUUUUGCCCAUUCUAACAUUCAGUUGAACAGUAACUGAAUGCCUCGAUGCCUGCUUUAUAUAGCAAGACACAGCCACACAACUCACUGUCUGUAACCCAGUUUUGUGAAAUGGGCGGCGGACCUAAUAAACUGGCCGGAGAGUGUAUAUCAUCGAUACAUGAAUAUAACAGUAUAUAUAGCAUGUUAACAUGGGGAUAUAUACAGUAUCAUCUAUACAUGAAGAUAACAGUAUACAGUAUAUGGGUCGAGUGUUGGUUUCUUGAGGAGAGGAGCGACUCGGGCCAUCUUGAAGUCAGUGGUCAGGGAUGAGUUGAUGAGUGAAGUGAGGAAGGGGAGGUCACCAGAGAUGGUGUGGAGAAGGGAGGAGGGGAUGGGGAUGAGUUGAUGAGGGAAGUGAGGAAGAGGAGGUCUC